rnacentral:lncRNA from 1 species
CUCAUAUAUUUAUCUUCCCACAGUUUUCUGCCUUUGUGUCUUAGUCUGUUUCCUGUUGCUAUAACAGAAGCUGCAGAUUGCAUAAUUUAUAAAGAAAAGAGAUUUAUUUGGCUCAUAGUUCUGGAGGCUGGGAAGCCCAAGGGAAUGGCACCUGCAUCUGUCAAUACUCAUUCCAUGGUUAAAGAGAGGAAGGUGGAAGUGAGUCCAUGAAACAGACAGAGAGGAAAUCUGGCCAAACUCAUCCUUUUUAUCAGGAACCCACUCUCAAUAACUAACCUACUCUUGUGAUAACAGCAUUAAUCCAUUCAUGAGGGCCGAACUUUCAUGACUUAAUCACUUCUUAAAAGCUCCACAUCCUGCAAUAAAUUAUUUUUAGAGAUGGGGUCUUAUUAUGUUGCCUAGGCUGCUCUUGAACUCCUGGGCUCAAGUGAUCCUCCCACCUCAGCCUCUCAAAGUGCUGGGAUUACAGGCAUGAGCCACCAUGCCUGGCCCUGCAAUAAAUUUCAACAUGAAUCUUGGAAAGGACAUUGAAACCACAGCACGUUGGAAUCCCGAAAUUCUUUCCUUUGUCUCACCACUUCUCUACAAAUGUAUUGUUCUUUGUUAAGAUGUUAUAUAAGCCCCAACCUCUAACCAUCCCUUUGACUUGCUCAUCACUGAGUUCCUUCUGUGAGGAUGUGCAUUGCACAUGUUAAUAAACUCUGUUUUUCUCCUGUUUUUUAGACCGUCUUUUGUCAGUCUCAUUUGCAGGCCCCCAGCUGGAGAACCCAGGAGGAAGAGGAAAAAAGUUUUUUCCUCCUCUACACUCCCCAUGCAUGACUAUAGAGUGAGGAGGAGGCAGCAAGCUAUGUAACUGCAACUGCAGAGCAGAAACAGCAAUGAAAGGACUGAUGAUCCAACAAGGACCAAGCAACAUUUCUGCAGCUAUGCAAACCAUGCAUCUGGCUCCCCUCCCACCUUCUCACCUUGGAACACCAUCAGCUGUGGGCAUCUACGUGCAGCAGGAAGCAUCACUGAGUAAGCUGAACUACACGUCAAGGGUAGACACUGCACUGUCCAUCUAGCCUGCUCUGAACUGGCCCUGGGAAGGCGUGUCUGGAGAAGCUGUGUUGGAAGGAUUAGAAUAAUACACAUCUACACACGUACCCACUCUGCAUGGGCUGCCUGAGAAAACUGCGUACCAGAUUGUGUUAAGAGUUGGAGAGUACAGAUGCAGGUUUUAAGAGCCUGUUUUUCUGUGCCCUCUUCAGGAAGAUUUAAGUGGAUCC